AUACGUAGGUGACAAGCGUUAUCCGGAUUUACUGGGCGUAAAGGGCGUGUAGGCGGUCUUGCAAGUCAGAAGUGAAAUUCCUGAGCUCAACUCGGGCGCUGCUUCUGAAACUGCAGGACUUGAGUGCUGGAGGGGAUAGCGGAAUUCCUAGUGGAGCGGUAAAAUGCGCAGAUAUUAGGAAGAACACCGGUGGCGAAGGCGGCUAUCUGGACAGUAACUGACGCUGAGGCGCGAAAGCGUGGGGAGCAAACAGGAUUAGAUACCCUGGUAUUCCACGCCGUAAACGAUGAAUACUAGGUGUAGGGGGUAUCGACUCCCUCUGUGCCGCAGUUAACACAAUAAGUAUUCCGCCUGGGGAGUACGGCCGCAAGGUUGAAACUCAAAUGAAUUGACGGGG
rnacentral:rRNA from 1 species